GCACGUUACGAGAUGUGCCUUUUCUCCGAACCGUAGCAGAGGUGCUGCGUGGGUGUCGUCAGCUCGUGUCGUGAGAUGUUGGGUUAAGUCCCGCAACGAGCGCAACCCUUACCCUUAGUUGCCUGCGAGUAAAGUCGGGAACUCUAAGGGGACUGCCCGGUUUAACCGGGAGGAAGGUGGGGAUGAUGUCAAGUCAUCAUGGCCCUUAUGUCCAGGGCUACACACGUGCUACAAUGGGCGAUACAAACCGUUGCGAACUCGCGAGAUGGAGCUAAUCACACAAAGUCCCCCUCAGUUCGGAUUGCACUCUGCAACUCGAGUGCAUGAAGGUGGAAUCGCUAGUAAUCGUGUAUCACAACGAUACGGUGAAUACGUUCCCGGCCUUGUACACACCGA
rnacentral:rRNA from 1 species